rnacentral:lncRNA from 1 species
UAAUGAGUGCCAUUCUAAUAAGUUUGUAUUUUUUCCACUGAUGGCAAUCAGAAGUUAGUACUUCAUAGAAGAUAAGGAUACAUUUACAAAAUUAAUACAGAAUUGAAACUUUUCUUGAAUGAAUUAUGGUGAAAAACUUGUUAAAAUAGGUAAAGUUUGGUACCCUCACAUUACACUUAUAUUUUUUAUAACGUACCUCUGAAAUUGUUUCAUUGGGCAUUGCUUCAUGAUUGUGGUACUUAACAAAUUUUGUACUUUAUUUUUAUUUUUGUUUUGUUUUAAAUGCUGUCAUUACUAAAACAUGUUUUAAAAAUGUUAAAUUUUAGUACAUUUGUACUAACUAAUUCAUGUACAUUUAAUGAGGGUAGAUUUUAAGGUUAAUGGACAAACAUCUACUUGCCAGUAGUAUGCAGUUUUAGUGUAAUAUAUGUUUAUGUAUUUUAUAUCCUCUAAUUUAUCUGUAGUCAUUCCUCG